rnacentral:rRNA from 1 species
UGCCAGCAGCCGCGGUAAUACGAAGGGGGCUAGCGUUGUUCGGAAUUACUGGGCGUAAAGCGCACGUAGGCGGAUAUUUAAGUCGGGGGUGAAAUCCCGCAGCUCAACUGCGGAACUGCCUUUGAUACUGGGUAUCUUGAGUAUGGAAGAGGUGAGUGGAAUUCCGAGUGUAGAGGUGAAAUUCGUAGAUAUUCGGAGGAACACCAGUGGCGAAGGCGGCUCACUGGUCCAUUACUGACGCUGAGGUGCGAAAGCGUGGGGAGCAAACAGGAUUAGAUA